GAUGAAGAACGUAGCGAAAUGCGAUAAGUAAUGUGAAUUGCAGAAUUCAGUGAAUCAUCGAAUCUUUGAACGCACAUUGCGCCCCCUGGUAUUCCGGGGGGCAUGCCUGUUCGAGCGUCAUUUCACCACUCAAGCCUCGCUUGGUAUUGGGCAACGCGGUCCGCCGCGUGCCUCAAAUCGUCCGGCUGGGUCUUCUGUCCCCUAAGCGUUGUGGAAACUAUUCGCUAAAGGGUGUUCGGGAGGCUACGCCGUAAAACAACCCCAUUUCUAAGGUUGACCUCGGAUCAGGUAGAGAUACCCGCUGAACUUAAGCAUAUCAAUAAGCGGAGGA
rnacentral:misc_RNA from 1 species